rnacentral:rRNA from 1 species
UACGGAGGGUGCAAGCGUUAUCCGGAUUCACUGGGCGUAAAGGGCACGUAGGCGGCUUGGCAAAUCGGUCGUGGAAUCCCGACGCUUACCGUCGGAACGGCGGCCGAAAAUACCGAGCUCGAGGGCGUGAGGGGUCACUGGAACUCCUGGUGAAGCGGUGAAAUGCGUAGAUAUCAGGAGGAACGCCGGAGGCGAAAGCGAGUGACUGGCGCGUUCCUGACGCUGAGGUGCGAAAGCUAGGGGAGCAAACAGG